GGAGUGGCUGAAUGGUAGGGCACCUUUUUGGCAUAAAGAAGGUCCCAGGUUCAAUCCCUGGCAUCUCCA
rnacentral:tRNA from 1 species